rnacentral:rRNA from 1 species
UACGUAGGCAGCAAGCGUUGUUCGGAGUUACUGGGCGUAAAGGGUGCGUAGGCGGUUGUUUAAGUUUGGUGUGAAAUCUCCCGGCUCAACUGGGAGGGUGCGCCGAAUACUGAAUGACUAGAGUGCGGGAGAGGAGAGUGGAAUUCCUGGUGUAGCGGUGAAAUGCGUAGAUAUCGAUCGGAACACCCAUGGCGAAGGCAGCUCGCUGGCCUGCAACUGACGCUGAGGCGCGAAAGCGUGGGGAGCAAACAGG